AUUGAACGCUGGCGGCAGGCCUAACACAUGCAAGUCGAGCGAGCGGCGGACGGGUGAGUAAUGUCUGGGGACUGCCUGAUAGAGGGGGAUAACUACUGGAAACGGUGGCUAAUACCGCAUACUAUCGGAUAACCCAUAUGGGAUUAGCUAGUCGGUGGGGUAAAGGCUCACCUAGGCGACGAUCCCUAGCUGGUCUGAGAGGAUGAUCAGCCACACUGGGACUGAGACACGUCCCAGACGCCGACGGAGGCAGCAGUGGGGAAUAUGGGCCAAAGGGCGCAAGCCUGAUGCAGCCAUUCCGCGUGUAUGAAGAAGGCCCUAGGGUUGUAAAGUACUUUCGCUAUCGAACGGUUAGGUGGAGAAGAAGCGCCGGCUAACUACGUGCCAGCAGCCGCGGUAAUAC
rnacentral:rRNA from 1 species